rnacentral:rRNA from 1 species
CACGUAGGGGGCGAGCGUUGUCCGGAUUUAUUGGGCGUAAAGAGCUCGUAGGCGGCUCGGUAAGUCAGGUGUGAAAACUCUAGGCUCAACCUAGAGACGCCACCUGAUACUGCUGUGGCUAGAGUCCGGUAGGGGAGCAUGGAAUUCCUGGUGUAGCGGUGAAAUGCGCAGAUAUCAGGAGGAACACCAGUGGCGAAGGCGGCUUCCUGGACCGACACUGACGCUGGAUGCGGCGAAAAGCUAGGGGAGCAAACGGG